rnacentral:rRNA from 1 species
GGAUUUGGUCGGGCAUCACUGUCCGUAUUGACUUGAUGGAUUCUUACCUUCUGAAUAACCAGCAUGCUAUUAAGUUAGUGCGUUGGGGAAGCAGAUCUAUUACCUUGAAAAAAUUAGUGCUUAAAGCGAGCUAGUGCUUGAAUAGAUUAGCAUGGAAUAAUAAAAUAGACUAUUUUGUUGGUUUCUAGGAUCACCGUA